rnacentral:rRNA from 1 species
AGCGAACGCUGGCGGUAUGCUUAACACAUGCAAGUCGAGCGCGAAAGUGACUUCGGUCACGAGUAGAGCGGCGGACGGGUGAGUAACACGUGGAUAAUCUGCCUUUAGGACUGGGAUAACCCUGGGAAACUAGGGCUAAUACCGGAUAAGACCACAGGUUCCCAUGGAAACCAGGGGUAAAAGGCGGCCUUCGGGCUGUCGCCGAAAGAUGAGUCCGCGUCCCAUCAGGUAGUUGGUGAGGAACGGCUCACCAAGCCGAAGACGGGUAGCCGACCUUAGCGGGUGAUCGGCCACACGGGGACUGAGACACGGGCCCCGAC